UACGGGGGGGGCAAGCGUUGUUCGGAAUUACUGGGCGUAAAGGGCGCGUAGGCGGUUUGCUAAGUUGGAUGUGAAAACUCUGGGCUUAACCCAGAGCCUGCAUCCAAAACUGGCAAACUUGAGUACUGGAGGGGAAAGCGGAAUUCCUGGUGUAGCGGUGAAAUGCGCAGAUAUCAGGAGGAACACCGGUGGCGAAGGCGGGUCUCUGGGCCGUAACUGACGCUGAGGAGCGAAAGCAUGGGGAGCGAACAGG
rnacentral:rRNA from 1 species